rnacentral:rRNA from 1 species
UACAGAGGUCCCAAGCGUUGUUCGGAUUCAUUGGGCGUAAAGCGCGUGUAGGCGGCUUGGUAGGUCCGCUGUGAAAACUCGAGGCUCAACCUCGAGAUGUCGGCGGAAACCACUUGGCUAGAGUCCGGAAGAGGAGAGUGGAAUUCCCGGUGUAGCGGUGAAAUGCGCAGAUAUCGGGAAGAACACCUAUGGCGAAGGCAGCUCUCUGGGACGGUACUGACGCUGAGACGCGAAAGCGUGGGGAGCGAACAGG